rnacentral:lncRNA from 1 species
AGAUGUGACACGAUGAACCCAACUUCGUGGGGCUGGGCCAAAAGGCCGGAGCUUGGAGAGGGGACAUUUCUGCGCUUGACUUCGGGCUAUGGACUCUGCCCGGUGGAGACCAUUGUACCCCAUACGGAUGGAGAGGUUACACCUAUUGUAUCUGUAUGGUGGUGAUAUUAUACCAUGAGGUGCAUCUCUUUCUGGUGAAGGAAAUCCCAAAAUAUUUCACCCCAAAAUAUGGCUCCCUGGUAUAGUGAGUAUUUUGAAUUCAACACCCUUAGAGAUCAAUAAACUGGAAGAAACUUUCCCCCUUCUACAAAAAGAAAGGACUGAAUCACCAAGGAGAACAGUUGUUCUUGUUCGCCCGUUAUCUCAUUACCCUUCACAGCAAAGAAGACCCAGAAUGUAACCACAUCUGAACAGACUCUUUCAAGACAGUGACUGUUGCCAAGGAUCAUAUAAAUUCCAAAGAAUUUUACAAGUUACUUUCUGUUCCCCAUCCAAUCGUUCUCCCUAGUAAUCAUUUAUAAUCCCUCAAUAGAAUUCUUCUCCCUCUCCCAUAAGCCCCCAUUCUGUCUGUAACCUCGAGGUAGUAUAUAAGUUUCUGGACUUCACUGGAGGGGGUCUAGUCUUUAUUCUGAAGGCUGUCAUGUAUACCUGUUAAGAAUGAUAGAGAAGAUGUCUUGGGUGAAUAUUAUGAUAUAUAAAUUAUAUCUCGAUUUUUAAAAAAUUGAGGCCAGGCACAGUGGCUCACAACUGUACAGUCUCGGCACUUUGGGAGGCCGGGGCGGGUGGAUCAUGAGGUCAGGAGUUCAAGACCAGCCUGGCCAAGAUGGUGAAACCCCGUCUCUACUAAAAACAGAAAAAUUAGCCCGGCGUAGUGGCGGGCGCCUGUAAUCCCAGCUAUUCAGGAGGCUGAGGCAGAGAAUUGCUUGAACCCAGGAGGCGGAGGUUGCAAUGAGCCGAGAUCGUGCCACUGUACUCCCGCCUGGGCGACGAGUGAGACUCCAUCUCAAAAAAAUAAAUAAUAAAAA